AAGACUAUAGACCUGCGGAGUACCUGCGGAAGGAUCAUUACCUAGAGUUUGUGGACUUCGGUCUGCUACCUCUUACCCAUGUCUUUUGAGUACCUUCGUUUCCUCGGCGGGUCCGCCCGCCGAUUGGACAACAUUCAAACCCUUUGCAGUUGCAAUCAGCGUCUGAAAAAACAUAAUAGUUACAACUUUCAACAACGGAUCUCU
rnacentral:misc_RNA from 1 species